GCAGUUGUGGCCGAGUGGUUAAGGCGAUGAACUAGAAAUCCAUUGGCGUUUCCCCGCACAGGUUCGAAUCCUGUCGACUGCC
rfam:Ixodes scapularis strain Wikel colony gcontig_1108379883676, whole genome shotgun sequence.